UCAAGCGACCAAGCGCGCAUGGUGGAUGCCUAGGUGGUAAGAGGCGAUGAAGGACGUUGUAGCCUGCGAUAAGCCUCGGGGAGCCGGCAAACAGGCUUUGAUCCGAGGAUUUCCGAAUGGGGAAACCCAGCCCUUCGGGGUUAUCACACACUGAAUACAUAGGUGUGUGAGGCGAACCUGGUGAACUGAAAUAUCUAAGUAACCAGAGGAAAAGAAAUCAACCGAGAUUCCCUGAGUAGCGACGAGCGAACGGGGAACAGCCCUUAAGUCGUGGUGUGGUUAGUGGAACGGUCUGGAAAGUCCGGUCAUAGAGGGUGACAACCCCGUACACGAAAACCUAUCCACGAUGAAAUCGAGUAGGGCGGGACACGUGAAAUCCUGUCUGAACAUGGGGGGACCAUCCUCCAAGGCUAAAUACUCCUUACCGACCGAUAGUGAACCAGUACCGUGAGGGAAAGGCGAAAAGAACCCCUGUUAGGGGAGUGAAAUAGAACCUGAAACCGUGUGCGUACAAGCAGUGGGAGCCUGGCUUCGGCCGGGUGACUGCGUACCUUUUGUAUAAUGGGUCAGCGACUUACAUCUCAGUGGCAAGCUUAACCAUAUAGGGGAGGCGUAGCGAAAGCGAGUCUUAAUAGGGCGUCUUAGUCGCUGGGAGUAGACCCGAAACCGGACGAUCUAGCCAUGGCCAGGUUGAAGGUCGGGUAAUACCGACUGGAGGACCGAACCAACUGACGUUGAAAAGUCAGUGGAUGAGCUGUGGCUAGGAGUGAAAGGCUAAACAAGUCCGGAGAUAGCUGGUUCUCCCCGAAAACUAUUUAGGUAGUGCCUCGUGUCUCACUUCUGGGGGUAGAGCACUGUUAUGGCUAGGGCCACGUCUAGUGGUACCAACCCAUUGCAAACUCCGAAUACCAGAAAGUGCAAUCACGGGAGACAGACGGCGGGGAGAUAAGUUUCGUCGUCGAAAAGGGAAACAGCCCAAGACCGCCAGCUAAGGUCCCUAAAUCACAGCUCAGUGGGAAACGAUGUGGGAAGGCCCAGACAGCCAGGAGGUUGGCUUAGAAGCAGCCACCCUUUAAAGAAAGCGUAAUAGCUCACUGGUCAAGUCGGCCUGCGCGGAAGAUGUACCGGGGCUAAGCUGUGUACCGAAGCUGCGGAUGCAAGCUUGCUUGCAUGGUAGGGGAGCGUUCUGUAAGCCUGUGAAGGUGUGCCGUGAGGCAUGCUGGAGGUAUCAGAAGUGCGAAUGCUGACGUGAGUAACGAUAAAGGGAGUGAAAAACUCCCUCGCCGAAAGUCCAAGGUUUCCUGCGCAAUGUUAAUCAGCGCAGGGUUAGUCGGCCCCUAAGGCGAGGCCGAAAGGCGUAGUCGAUGGGAAACAGGUUAAUAUUCCUGUACCGCAUAUAACUGCGAUGGGGUGACGGAGAAGGUUAGACCAUCCGGGCGUUGGUUGUCCCGGUUUAAGCGUGUAGGGAGUGUUCUUAGGUAAAUCCGGGAGCACAAUUCUGAGACGUGAUGACGAGAUUUCUUUUGAAAUUGAAGUGGUUGAUACCAUGCUUCCAGGAAAAACCUCUAAGCUUCAGGUUAUAUGUGUCCGUACCCUAAACCGACACAGGUGGACAGGGCGAGUAGCCCAAGGCGCUUGAGACAACUCGGGUGAAGGAACUCGGCAAAAUGACACCGUAACUUCGGGAGAAGGUGUGCCCCUGAUACGUGAAGGCCUUGCGGCUGGAGCGGAAAGGGGUUGCAACAAAGAGGUGGCUGCGACUGUUUAUUAAAAACAUAGCACUCUGCAAACUCGUAAGAGGACGUAUAGGGUGUGACGCCUGCCCGGUGCCGGAAGGUUAAUUGAUGGGGUUAGUCUUCGGACGAAGCUCUUGAUCGAAGCCCCGGUGAACGGCGGCCGUAACUAUAACGGUCCUAAGGUAGCGAAAUUCCUUGUCGGGUAAGUUCCGACCUGCACGAAUGGCGUAACGAUGGCCACACUGUCUCCACCCGGGACUCAGUGAAAUCGAAAUUGCUGUGAAGAUGCAGUGUACCCGCACCAAGACGGAAAGACCCCGUGCACCUUUACUACAGCUUCACACUGGACUUUGAACCUAUCUGUGUAGGAUAGGUGGGAGGCUUUGAAGCCAGGACGCCAGUUCUGGUGGAGCCAACCUUGAAAUACCACCCUGAUAUGUUUGGGGCCCUAACCGAGAUCCGUUAUCCGGGUCCGGGACAGUGUGUGGUGGGUAGUUUGACUGGGGCGGUCUCCUCCCAAAGAGUAACGGAGGAGCGCGAAGGUACUCUAAGCGCGGUCGGAAAUCGCGCGGUUAGUGCAAAGGCAUAAGAGUGCUUGACUGCGAGACUGACACGUCGAGCAGGUGGGAAACCAGGUCUUAGUGAUCCGGUGGUUCUGUAUGGAAGGGCCAUCGCUCAACGGAUAAAAGGUACGCCGGGGAUAACAGGCUGAUACCCCCCAAGAGUUCACAUCGACGGGGGUGUUUGGCACCUCGAUGUCGGCUCAUCACAUCCUGGGGCUGUAGCCGGUCCCAAGGGUAUGGCUGUUCGCCAUUWAAAGGUGGGUAACGCGAGCUKGGUUUAGAACGUCGUGAGACAGGUUUGGUCCCUAUCUGGUGUGGGCGUYAGAAACUUGAGAGGAGCUGCUCCUAGUACGAGAGGACCGGAGUGGACGUACCUCUGGUGUCCAGUUGUCAUGGUACCARUGRUCCAUYSCYSRGUAGCUAUGUACGGACGGGAUAACCGCUGAAAGCAUCUAAGCGGGAAGCCCCCCUCAAGAUUAGGUUUCUCUGGACCUAUAAGGUCCCUUAAGGGUCGUCGUAGACUACGACGUUGAUAGGCGGGGUGUGGAAGUGCAGUAAUGCAUUAAGCUAACCCGUACUAAUUGCCCGUGAGGCUUGAUCAU
rnacentral:rRNA from 1 species